UAGGGAAUCUUGCGCAAUGAGCGAAAGCUUGACGCAGCGACGCCGCGUGCGGGAUGACGGCCCUCGGGUUGUAAACCGCUUUCAGCAGGGACGAAAUUGACGGUACCUGCAGAAGAAGCCCCGGCCAACUACGUGCCAGCAGCCGCGGUAAUACGUAGGGGGCAAGCGUUGUCCGGAUUUAUUGGGCGUAAAGAGCUCGUAGGCGGUUCGACAAGUCGAAUGUGAAAUCUCCACGCUCAACGUGGAGGGGUCAUUCGAAACUGUCGUGACUUGAGUACGGUAGGGGAGUGUGGAAUUCCCGGUGUAGCGGUGAAAUGCGCAGAGAUCGGGAGGAACACCCGUAGCGAAGGCGGCACUCUGGGCCGAUACUGACGCUGAGGAGCGAAAGCGUGGGGAGCAAACAGGAUUAGAUACCCUGGUAGUCCACGCCGUAAACGUUGGGGCACUAGGUGUGGGACUCUAUCGACGGGUUCCGUGCCGUAGCUAACGCAUUAAGUGCCCCGCUGGGG
rnacentral:rRNA from 1 species